AUCGACGGCCUUACCACCCUGACGCGCCAGAUCUCCUCUGAUCUCCGAAGCUAAGCAGGGUGGGGCCUGGUCAGUACUCGGAUGGGAGACCGCCUGGGAAGACCGGGUGCCGCAGGCU
rnacentral:rRNA from 1 species